rnacentral:rRNA from 1 species
GAUGAACGCUGGCGGCGUGCUUAACACAUGCAAGUCGAACGAUGAAGCCCAGCUUGCUGGGUGGAUUAGUGGCGAACGGGUGAGUAACACGUGAGUAACCUGCCCUUGACUCUGGGAUAAGCCCGGGAAACUGGGUCUAAUACCGGAUAGGAGCGCCUGUCGCAUGACGGGUGUUGGAAAGAUUUUUCGGUCAUGGAUGGACUCGCGGCCUAUCAGCUUGUUGGUGAGGUAAUGGCUCACCAAGGCGACGACGGGUAGCCGGCCUGAGAGGGUGACCGGCCACACUGGGACUGAGACACGGCCCAGACUCCUACGGGAGGCAGCAGUGGGGAAUAUUGCACAAUGGGCGGAAGCCUGAUGCAGCGACGCCGCGUGAGGGAUGACGGCCUUCGGGUUGUAAACCUCUUUCAGCAGGGAAGAAGCGAAAGUGACGGUACCUGCAGAAGAAGCACCGGCUAACUACGUGCCAGCAGCCGCCGUAAUAC